CGAGCGGAUGACAGGAGCUUGCUCCUGGAUUCAGCGGCGGACGGGUGAGUAAUGCCUAGGAAUCUGCCUGGUAGUGGGGGACAACGUUUCGAAAGGAACGCUAAUACCGCAUACGUCCUACGGGAGAAAAGCAGGGGACCUUCGGGCCUUGCGCUAUCAGAUGAGCCUAGGUCGGAUUAGCUUGUUGGUGAGGUAAUGGCUCACCAAGGCGACGAUCCGUAACUGGUCUGAGAGGACUGAUCAGUCACACUGGAACUGAGACACGGUCCAGACUCCUACGGGAGGCAGCAGUGGGGAAUAUUGGACAAUGGGCGAAAGCCUGAUCCAGCCAUGCCGCGUGUGUGAAGAAGGUCUUCGGAUUGUAAAGCACUUUAAGUUGGGAGGAAGGGUUGUAGAUUAAUACUCUGCAAUUUUGACGUUACCGCAGAAUAAGCACCGGCUAACUCUGUGCCAGCAGCCGCGUAAUACAGAGGGUGCAAGCGUUAAUCGGAAUUACUGGGCGUAAAGCGCGCGUAGGUGGUUUGUUAAGUUGGAUGUGAAAGCCCCGGGCUCAACCUGGGAACUGCAUCCAAAACUGGCAAGCUAGAGUACAGUAGAGGGUGGUGGAAUUUCCUGUGUAGCGGUGAAAUGCGUAGAUAUAGGAAGGAACACCAGUGGCGAAGGCGACCACCUGGACUGAUACUGACACUGAGGUGCGAAGCGUGGGGAGCAAACAGGAUUAGAUACCCUGGUAGUCCACGCCGUAAACGAUGUCAAGUAGCCGUUGGAAUCCUUGAGAUUUUAGUGG
rnacentral:rRNA from 1 species